AGAGCGAACGCUGGCGGCAGGCCUAAUACAUGCAAGUCGAGCGGUAAGGCUACUUCGGUAGUACACGAGCGGCGGACGGCUGAGUAACACGUAGGAACGUACCCCAAAGUGAGGCAUAAGCACCAGAAAUGGUGUCUAAUACCGCAUGUGAUCUUCGGAUUAAAGCUUCGGCGCUUUGGGAACGGCCUGCGCAUGAUUAGCUUGUUGGUGAGGUAAUAGCUCACCAAGGCGACGAUCAUUAGCUGGUCUGAGAGGAUGACCAGCCAGACUGGGACUGAGAACGGCCCAGACUCCUACGGGAGGCAGCAGUAGGGAAUUUUCCACAAUGGGCGAAAGCCUGAUGGAGCAACGCCGCGUGCAGGAUGAAGGCUCUCGGGUCGUAACUGCUUUUAUAUGUGAAGAUUAUGACGGUAGCAUAUGAAUAAGGAUCGGCUAACUCCGUGCCAGCAGCCGC
rnacentral:rRNA from 1 species